GUAAAAGAUCCGUAGUGUAAAAGGUACGUAUUGUAAAAGAUUUGUUGUUGUAAAAGAUUCCUAGUUGUAAAAGAUUUGUAGUUGUAAAAGAUUAGUUUUGUGUAGCUUACAUUUUAUGUAACCGCAUGUCACAAACUGGGAUUGUUUUUUUUUCGCCGUUUAUCACACAAGCUAGCAUUUUAAAUUCAUAAACGUGAAUCAAAGUGGGUAAACUCAUUGCAUUUGAUAAAGAUUCAGAAUCAAAAAGGGCAAUGCUUUUAGUAUUGAGUGUUGUUUAACUUGGUUGUACAUAGAUUGCUUAAUUGCUUAACCGUGAGUCAUCUGUGCACAGGUGAAAUUUUAUGUGACACAAAUUUGGAUGAACAAAAUUGAAUUGGUUGAAUUUGAUUCAUUGAAUCGACUCGGUAAUUUUUUUUUUAAUGAUUCGCUUAGGGUGAACAGUAGCUGGUAAGUGUUUUUUCUUGAUUUUUAGUUGAAACUAGUUUUAGCAUCGGCUGUCAGAUAGAAGCUGUAACUGCGUUCCUUGUUGCUACGAGUUGUUUACACGUUGCUAGAUUAGAGCUAAUUCACACGAUUACACUUUGUUUUGCUAAUUAAAGAGGCAUGCUCAGGUGUGAAGCACCCCCACUACAGUACUUGAGAA
ensembl:lncRNA